rnacentral:rRNA from 1 species
AUGGAACUUGAUGAAGAUGCAGAUGAUCUGGAAGUUGAGGAGGACGUAGAAGGCAGCCAGGCUAAUGAUGUAGGGGUAAUUACCCUUUCCUCAAGUUCAGACUCUAUGCCAACACAAAAAACCCGUCAAGCGAUCCGGAAAGUAAGCUUUUCUCAUCCUCUUGCUUACUUGGAUCCAACAUUUAUUUUGAAGACGCAGCAGCAUGAAGCUCGCCGAACCACCUGGCACAGUGGCCAACAGGUCACUUCGGCCGGUUUACCUGAUACCCCAGUUCGGAAGCGCCGAUCUGAGGUCUCCCCCACUUCUGACAAUUCUUAUCCCAAGGCAGGUUAUUUCAGACAACCUCUUAAUCCGUCCGAUUCAAAUUAUCAGUGA